UACGAGAGGCCCAAACGUUAUUCGGAAUUACUGGGCUUAAAGAGUUCGUAGGCGGCAUGAAAAGUAGGGUGUGAAAGCCCUCGGCUCAACCGAGGAAUUGCGCUCUAAACCGUCGUGCUAGAGGAAGCUAGAGGUGAGCGGAACUGAUGGUGGAGCGGUGAAAUGCGUUGAUAUCAGGAGGAACACCAAUGGCGAAGGCAGCACUCUGGGACGUGACUGACGCUGAGACGCGAAAGCGUGGGGAGCAAACAGG
rnacentral:rRNA from 1 species